AUUUUUUGAGUGUCAGUUUGGCUACAACCAAUACUGUUCAAUACAGCCUUUCUUUCCGACACAAAGGAAGUCAUAGCGGACACCUACGAAGGACUGUGUGAUGAUGGCAUCUCAGAUACAACAUUGUCAUCUUUGGAAGUAUAGAUGGAUUUUCAAGGAAGAUAAGAGAGCUAUGAAAGCCUGUCAGCAGAUGAAGAGGUCCCAAUGAAGAGCAGUGGUUCUCAGUCCUGGCCCUGGGGACUUAAAGGGGUUAUAACGGCUUUCUUCUGUGGACGAAGGAGAGGACCAAAGCGCAGAGUGGAAGUAUUAUUAAAGAGAUGCUUGACAUUGAAGUACAGAUAGAGAUGCAGUAGUCCCAGAGCUAAUGAUCCAAGGUAUGUUUUGAAGUGAAUGAGGAAGCCAGUCCCGUCAUCACCACCUCACCCGUUCUUCAGAUAACCUUCAGGCCGACUGGGAGCCCAAGGCUGGUUAGGAGACACCGCUAGAGACACUGUAAUUGAGAUGAACUGAGAGAAUAUUAGGGUAGCACUGUGAUUCAUUAAUCAUAUGCUCCUCUGUUUUACCUCUUCUGUCUUCUACACCUCUCUCCCCACCUCCUCCUUCUUCCUCUUUUUUUAUAAUGCAUGGAAGUACAGAUUGAACUUG